UUUUUAGAUUUUCACGUGGUUCAUAAGAAACAUAUAUGGUGCAUUAAUAAGUCCUCCACAAGUAAAUGAGUUUUGAACCCAAUCCCAAAUGGAAAAAACUAAACUUAAUUUAAACCAUAAUUAAUUAAUUAAUUUUAAAGAGGCAACAAAAAAAGAAUAAUAAAAAAAUGUAACCAUGGGGAAACGCCCCUCCCACUCUCAGAC
rnacentral:lncRNA from 1 species